UGAAUAGUGUUGGUUUAGUAUUCUCUGUACAGAAUAAGUUUGCCCUAAAUUACAAAAUAAUUCAUAGAUCUUUGAUCUGAUUAUUGAAAUAAAAUAAUUGAAGAUUUGUUAAUUUUGGAUGUUGUAGCCAAUUAACAGCUGAAAUGUCCUUCAGUACUAACUGAGUGAAGACUUAAAAUAAUUUGAGACGUGAACAUAUUUUCUCAUCUAUGUCAUGUUCUCCUUUUUUUUUUUUUUGAGACAGAGUCUUUCUCUGUCUCCCAGGCUGGAGUGCAAUGGCGAAAUCUCAGCUCACACAACCUCCUGCCUCAGCCUCCUGAGUAGCUGGGGUUAGAGGCACCUAUUAUUAUGCCUACCUCAUUUUUGUAUUUUUGUAGAGACAGGGUUUCAUCAUGUUGGCCAGGCGGGUGUUGAAUUCCUGACCUCAGGAGAUCCGCCCACCUCUGCUUCCCAAAGUGCUGGGAUUACAGAUGUAAACCACCACGCCCAGCCAACCUUUAAUCUACUUUAUGCUGUAUAAGAAUUUGUCUGUGGCCAGGCACUGUGGCUCACUCCUGUAAUCCCAGCACUUUGUAAGGCCAAGGUGGAUCAAUCACAAGGUCAGGAGUUCAAGACCAUCCUGGCCAAAACUGUGAAACCUGUCUCUGCUAAAAAUACAAAAAAUUACCCUGGCAUGGUGAUGGGGACUUGUAAUCUCAGCCACUGGGGAGGCUGAGUCAGAAGAAUCUCUUGAACCCAGGAGGCGGACGUUGCAGUGAGCUGAGAUCACACCACUGCAUUCCAGUCAGGGGAGAAAAAAGAAGUUAUUUUGCAAUUUCUUAGUGUAAAGUUUUUUUUUUCUAGGUAUCUAAUUUUUUUUCCUUAAAUAAAUUUUAAAAAUUUAAGUUAAACAUAGCCAAUUUGCUUUUUGGCCCAGGAUGUUUUCUUAUUUCAUCAUUUUAUUUUUAUUUGCAGUGUUGACAGUUUUAUUUUAGUUCUGUAGAAGAGGUGUCAUUCUUAGCCAUUUUUGCUGAAAUAAUUCUUUUAUUCUACUCUUUCAUUCAUUCUGACCUUAGGGGAUUUAAGUAUAUUCAAGCUUAUUUUUGAAAAGUGGAGAAAUAAAACUAAUUAUGCUUUGGAUUCAGUUUUUUAAAAUGUGGACUGUCUCCAUAAAAUGCGUAAUUUUAACUAUUUUCCAUUAAAACUAGAAUCUCAGAAUGAAAAAAAUGUGUUAAUUCUUUAAAAGUAACAGAAACCUUUGGUACAGGUACUGGGGAGUUAUAAAAAGAUUCUUGAUUUAGAAACACAUGCCAGUUUGCAUUCUCAAAACAAUUAAUAUCUAUCAUACUUAAAUCUGUUAAGUCAUAAAUUGGAGGAUCAAUAAUUAAUAUAUAUAAAAUUUUCCUCCUUUGAACUCAGGAUGAUCUGAAGUUCUGAUAGUUCUUCAAAUGACCAAAAGUCAAUCUGGAAAAUGUUUUGGAGGUCCAAGCCAACUUAGUUUCUCUUUUGUUCCCUUCCCACUUCUGUUGUUAGCUUUUCAUUCCUCCCUUGGAAUAGUUUGCUCCGUCUGCCCCCUUUCAGACAACUCCCUUACCCUAAGGGAACAUUUUAAAGCAUUUAGAUUACAAGGUAUUUCUCCAUAAAUAAAGUACAUGUGUAUCAACAGAGUUUGCCAUUAAGCAGAUUUGAUACAGUCUACCCAGGGAGAGUUUUUGUUUAAUAAACACUUCCUUACUCUGUGCCAGGCACCAUCUCAAGUACUUUGUAGAUAUUAGUGCAUUUGAUCUUAUGAGAUAGAUAACAUUAUUGUCCAUAUUUUGCAUGUGAAGAAACUGAAGCAUGGAGAAGUAAGUGUAGGAACUGAGAUUGGAACCCCAGUCAUCUGUCUGUAUAACCACUGUGUGCUACUUCUCUGAGCAUAAGAGAACGGUCACUACUAAGGAGAAGCAUGCUAAUGGUUUGGAAAACAUGUAGAAUCGUAUAAACAGAAAUCCAGAAGAUUUGAGAAGACAGGUAGGAGUGCUGUUAUUUGGAGAAUAGUUUCUGUGUGUGAUGUGAUCUCUCUGAGAGACCUUGAGGCGAAGGAGGGAGUGAACAUAGAUGAAGUGGCUGGCUGAGGUGGGAGGAUUGCUUGAGCCCAGGAGUUUGAAUCUGUACUCCAGCCUGUCUCAAAUAUAUAUAACAGAGGUCUGACUAAAAAUUAUUAGAAUUGAUUUUUAUGUGUAGUUUAUGGAACAGUUCUUAAAAAUUCAUAUAGUCAUACUGUAUUUAAUCUACCUUGGGGUUCGAGUUUACUAAAAGGACUUUUAAGCAAUGAGUUUUUGGAAUGUAAAAGAUAAUUAAUUAAAAAUGAAUCUUAUUGAAUUGUUAAGUCAUAUGUAGGGCAUCAAGGACUUCACUAGCCCACCUGUAAAUUAACAGAUAGAAACUAUUCAGGUUAAACAAAGCAGGUAUAAAGGAAGUUGGAUGGACCCUUUUUGCCAAUAUGCAGAUUUAUUUCUAGAAGAUGUACUUUAAUUAUGAUCACUUAAUAGACCAAGAGUGUCUAUUUGAAAAUCACUUUUGGUAUCUAAUUUCUUGCAGCAUAGUGCAUCUCAAAAUAAUUGGUAGACCAUUGUUUUGUGUCUUUAAACAUACUUUUAGGAACUUAUGGCAUUAUGCAGUGAGCUGUCCUUUCCUCUGAAUCUUGGAGGUGGAAGGAAGCUUAGUUUGAAAAAGCUUAUCUUGUACCUGACAUUGCUUUAUGCCUUGUGAUAGAGCAGUAGAUUGAGAUAUGUAUUUACAACAGUUGAUGACGUUUUUAUUGGUUGUGAAGGUACUUUGCACACAUAUGAAUGACCUGUUAUGGAUCACACAGAUACUUUCUUUUUAUCCAGUAGCUAUAGCCACUUUAAAAGAUAUAGAUGUUAUAUAGUAAAAAUGCUACAAACUCAGAACCUUUUAAAAAACAUUUUUACCUCUUGAGAAUUGCUGUCUUAAUGCAGUAUUUCUCAACGAACUUGUUUGCAGUGAAGCAUCCUUUGAAGCAUGUGAAAUGUAUUUUUCAUUACCAUCUCACAUGUUAUGUGCCCUUAACUCCAUUCCUAGGAACUCUUUCUAACAUUUAAUGAAAUCCUCAGCAGCUAACUCUAUGCCACAGAGAUUACCAUGGGUUAGCCAAAAUCUUCUGAAAUGUUCACAUGUUCCUGGAAAAACCAAUGAGGAGCUUAUAGAGACUGCAAUAGUAAAGGCCUGGCUUGUAUUGAUGUUACAUUUCUGUAGUACUGCCAUAUUUGGACACUUACCUUACAAAUACAUGUUAUCUUCUUCAUGAUGUUCAUGUUGAGGUGCUUAAUUAUGCCAGCAGUAUACUUUGUGUUUCUCAGCCAUGAAACAAAAUGGAUAUUAUCACAGGAUGCCUGUGUUUCCAACAAAUAGUUAAUGAAUGCCUGUUAAUUACCAAGAAGUUUUCCAGGUUCUGGGGAUAUAUAGCAGUUAAAACACACACACACACACACACACACACACACACACACACACCUUCCUUGUUUAGAAUGUAUGUUCUUUUCUGUGCAUGACAAGAGAAGAAGAAAACAAAUAGAAUUCUAUCCCUGUUUUUAUGGAUGGGAAUAACAAUUUAAUAUCAUUUAUUCUAGAAUAUAAGUCAGAGAGAAUUAGAUUAACAAAGAUAGUUUGGGGCUGUAGUGUUCAAAGCUUUGUGUAAUGAACUAAGAAGUUUGCAUUUAAUUCACUUGUGAAUGUGGAGCUAAUGAAAAUUUAGUGAAUUUUUUUAAGGAGGAUAGUGGCGUUAUUGCUGCUAGACUUCUGGAAAGAUGAUUCUUCCAUCAGGGUAUACGGUAAAGUAUAGUCUGAAUUGUAAAUAAAGAGUGGUUAAAAUGAAGUCUGGCAAGAUUUAUUAUAGCCUGUUAUAGACAAUAGAUAGAUCCACAGGUGGAUAGAUCAAUUAGGAGAGUAUCACAAUAUUUUAAGUUGCAGUAAUAAUCACCCAAACCAAUAUACUGGCACCAAGAGAUAUAUUUGAGAUACAAAGUAGAAAUAUCAACUUAUUAAAACAGUUAGAAACUGCAUGCAUAGGGUGACUUAAGAGGGUAAGUCUUGGGUGACUCAAGGUUUCUGUCUUGCAGUGGAAGGAGUAGUGGGCUUGUGGACAAAUAUAGAUGUUAGUCAUUGGGAGAACAAUCUAAGCAAAGUAGAAAUGGCUUAACAAGUAUACUUGGAAAUGAAGUAGUGGAUAGGAAGUGAGAAAUUAGAGUCAGGUGGGGCAGUCUUCAUUUUAAAGACAUUUGUAGGGUAACCAAUCACAAAGCUAUUGUGUUGGGGGGAGCAGGAGCACAGGAAAGGUUUAUCUUUUUUUUUGUCUCCUCCCACUUCCUUUUCUAAGCACAGAGGAUACCUGAAAACUUUUGUAGGAAGAGAGAAAGGAGCCAGCCUACAGAGAGAAUCUGCAAGUGAAAGAGAAAUAUGGUACAUAAUUGAUUUAAAAAAUGGACUGCAAUUGGCAGUGAGUCACUUUCAUGAAAAACGGGUGGAAGAUAUGCUUUGGUAGAGAGGGUGUUAUGUUUAAAACUCAGAGAAAGGCAUUAAAAAGAAGAGGGAAUUGAGGAAGCAGAGGGAUUUUGAGUUCGUGAGGAGGGCAGCUGUAUAAUCUUACAGCAGUGGAUCUCUUUUCUUCUUGGCAAAGUUUUUGAAGACAGGGAACAGCACUGCUAAAAGAUAAUAAAAAUGAAAAAUGCUAAGUUGGUACAACUGUACAUAAUAAAUGAAUUUGAUAUCUGCUGUUCUGUGAUUUUCAUAGCAGUUUUCUCCUGGGCUGAACAAAUAGUUUAUAAACUUUGGGCAGCUAAUAUUUAGCAGGAAGUCCCAUGAGCCAACUUAGUAAAAAGAAUUAAAGAAUCAAAUACCAAGACCAGUUUCAUGAACACAGUGUAGAAAUCAAAUUGUGUUACUGUCCUUUGGCUUUUUUUCCCAUAGUAUCUUAAGGAGGAUCUCUUGAGUGCACAGAAUCCUUGGACAUUUGGUUCAGAUAUGUUAUUUGUAUAUAUAACUAAUACAUUAAGCCUAAUGUGUUUCAGCAAGUAUUAAUAAUAUGCUGUUAGGAUUGUUAUAGGCUGUGAAUCUCCCUGAGGUUUAUCUAGGUAUAGAGGUGAGAUAAAGUUGCAAUUUUAUUAUUUUUGUUGAUUAGCAGUUAAAUACAAUGUUACUUUAUGUAUUGUUGAUUGUAUAACUUGCAGGUUUUUAUAGUGUUAUUGACAUAUUUAGGAUACUAUUCUAGAGGAAGAUUGCUUUAUGUAUUUGAGUUGAUUUCAGCAUUGUGGUCUUACAGCACCAUAAGAACUGAGAGGUCAGAAUUCUCUGAAAUUGUUGAAGGCCUGUGAAUCACUGUGUACCAACUUAAUUCUGAGAUGUGACAGAAUUGUGCCGCCUUUUCUCAGACUUCUUUCAGUGAUGAUUAACUAGGUAUAGUUAUUUUUGCAGAAAAGAAACAAUACCUCUUUUCCAUUGGCUUUAGUUGAAAAUUAAUGAGAAUUUAUAAAUUUUUCUUCUUCUCUAUAUUCAUUUUUAUUAUUGUUAUUAUCACUUAUUUAUGUUUUUUAGAGAGUGGCUCUCUCUGUGUUGCCCAGGCUAGAGUGCAGUGGCACAAUCAUAGCUCAUGGCAACCUUGAACUUCUGGACUCAAUCCUCCUGCUUCAGCCUCCCAGGUAGCUGGAACUACAGGCGAAUACCACCAUGCCUGGCUAAUUUUUUAGUAUUUUUGUAUAGACGGGAUCUCAUUAUGUUGGUCAGGCAUAUUGAUUUUAACUCACACUAUCAACUAUAUCCCUGAAAGGGAGGAAAUUAUUUAUUUUGACUAAAAAUGUUUUAAAAGUUUAAAAACAUACAAGUUAACAAUAACAUAAAUAGUAUGAAUAUUAAUAGUGGAGUAAAUAUUGCUGUAUUAACUAUGAUUAUACAUUCUUGUACCAUACAGUCUCAUCCUGAACUCAAUUUAUUGAACUUCUUAGUAAGUUUGUCAGUCUGGAGUUCACUUUUGUUAGUAGUAUAAAUUUCAUUUUCCAGAAGUAAUUACGUUUUUACAAAUGUUAAAUUUUCUUUUAGAAUUAUCUAUUACACAUAUACAAUUAUUUUCAUGUUAAUUAUUGUUAAUAAAAAACAACCCCCAAAGAAUUCUAUUAAGUAAUAAAGAUUUUCUAUGAAGCGUAUUUUAUAAUAGAGAAUUUUCAUUGUAAGUUUUUGAUAUAUCAGAUUUGUUUAUCUUUUCAUUAGAUAAAAUUAGUGGAGUUUGCUACAUUUUUAAAGCUAAACACAUGAGUAAAAUUAUUGUGUGUUAAAUUAUUAGACAUGGUAAUUAUUAUUUAUUUUUAUUUUUAUUUUUUUGAGGCAGAGUUUCGCUCUUGUUACCCAGGCUGGAGUGCAAUGGCGCAGUCUCGGCUCACCGCAACCUCCGCCUCCUGGGUUCAAGCAAUUCUCCUGCCUCAGCUUCCUGAGUAGCUGGGAUUACAGGCACGAUCCACCAUGCCCAGCUAAUUGUUUGUAUUUUUAGUAGAGACGGGGUAUCACCAUGUUGACCAGGAUGGCCUCAAUCUCUUGACCUCGUGAUCCACCCACCUCGGCCUCCCAAAGGACAUGAGUUCAAAAAAAAAAGAAUAAGAUUGUGGGAACUGAUGAAAGAAAAUACAGAGUUUUGGUGAAACAUAGAGGAAAUAGGUGAGGUAAGAAAUUGUUAAAACAGGCUGGAAUUAUUGAUUAUUAUUAUAUCUAAGUCACUUGGUAAGAAAGUUAACCUGUUGAAGUAUAAAUUUACUUAAUCUUUGUAUUCUUAAAGGUAAUUCUAUAUAUAAAGAUGAUUCAUCCACAGGCAGAGGUAAAAUCAAUUCCAUAAUCCCUCCGUAUGUUGUCAUAAAUACAUUACAGAAACACUUUUUUUUUCCCCAGGUAGUGCAUGGGAGCUGCAUUAUCUUAAAGACAUUUAUAGGUUUUGCUUUCCUUGUUACUCACCUCUAUUAUAUAACUAGGUCUUUCACUACUUUGUAAGCAAAUGACCAAUGGAGUUUAUUAGACAGUUUAGUUUUGUUAUUUUGAGAUCAGGGUAAAUGAGUUGUUUGUUUUGAAGCAGUGUUUGUAUAUCUGCCAUUUAUCUUAUGUGCUCUUUAUUUAGCUUAUCAUUUGAGUUUGCAAUUUAGCCACUCCUUACCUUUCAUUCAGUUUCUCCUUCAAAAUGCUGACACAAGCAGAGAAGCGAGUGAAAAAAACGCAUUGUUUGUAUUUAUUCAUGUUUCCAAAUGAUUCAUGUUUAGUUAUCCUUUCCUUGAAUCACCAUUCAUUAAAAGUGGUUCAGCCUUCUUUUUGCCUAUCCUCUGUAUUUGUGAUAGUCUUUCUAUUAUUUGGGAUUCAGGUCAAUUUAAUAAGAAAAACGCAAGAUUAAAUAUCUUGAAGACAGCAGACCUGGGCUGGGUGCUGUGGCUCACACCCGUAAUCCCAGCAGUUUGGGAGGCUGAGAUGGAAGGAUCGCUUGAGCCCAGGAGUUUCAGACCAGCCUGGACAACAGAGCAAGACCCUGCCUCAAUAAACGAAUGAAUGAAUGAAUAAAUAAAUAAAUAAACAAAUAAAAAUUUUAAAGUAGCUGGGUUUCGUUGUAUGCACCUGUUGUCCUAGCUACUCAGUAGGCUGAGGCAGGAGGAUCGCUUAAGCCCAGGAGGUUGAGGCUGCAGUGAGCCCUGUUUGCACCACUACUGCAGCCUGGGUGACAGAGGGAGACUGGAAAACAGGCCCUACUGCAUGGUUUCAUAUGGUUAACAAAUUAUAACCUACAAGACAACAAAAUUCAGCAGAAUGCUUAUGGAUAUAAUGGUAAUAGAAAUUUUUGGUUUCUCUCCUUAAUUUUCUUUCUUUUAAUCAUCUAGACCAGAGCUGAAAGCUACCUUCCCCUCAGAGAGAAUUGUUUGGCCUCAAAGAGAUUUAAACAGUUUGUAUUAGUUUCCAUCAUGGAGGUUCAGAAGAUAAAACCUGACUUUUCACAGUUACCUCCUUUAAUAAGGGCAUAUAUCAGCAGGACUCUGCCUUGCCUCCUCUAUCCUCUCUUCCCUCAUGCAUGCUUUGUUUACUUUGCCUCCUCUGGCUCCUAUAGGCAUUUGAGUUUGUUGUCUUUUCUUGAACGAUUAAAUGAGAUAUUUGCUUAGUGAUUAUUUGAACUUAAUAAACCAUUGUGAGAAAUUGAAGGUCACUGUGCAACUGGGCUUUUAGAAUCUUGAUUUACACUGAGACUGAGGGACAAAGAUCUCUGCAGAACAAACUGAAUUUUACGUGCAUUUGUACAUUUUGCAUUUUUUCUGUAUGUUGAAUAAUGAUUGCUUGCUUGCUGGUCUCAAAAAACUGAUUCAUGAAGAAUGUUUCCAAAGGAAUUUUUUCUUCCUGCCUUUUUUUUUUUUAAAUUUUAUUAUUUUCUUUUUGUUAACUUUCUUUUUUUACCCUGGCUUAUGGUGCUGAUUUUAACUUUCUUCAUAUGCCUUAGAAGUUAUUUCAGUUUUCAUAUUUAAAAAAAGACUCAAUUUCUAUUGAAAUUAAAAAGUCAAAAAAUUUGAAUGCAACUGUAAGCUACAGUGAUUUCUCAUUUACUAAUAAGUGCUGGGUCAUAAAAUAUAAAAAGGAAGGAUAGACAACAGCAACAGUUAUGGGGUAAAAAAGAUACUAAUGGGAUUCAUGCCUUAUUUAAUUUAUUUGAUGUAAAUGAAGAACUUUAUAUGAAGACAUACUACUUUUUCUGUCUAUUUCAAAGAUUAGACAUAGACAUAGUCUAGUCUAUCAAAUUGCUAAUUUAAAUACUGCAAGAAUCAAUAUACUAAGAUGGUUUUGGAUGGAGACUUUUCUGAGUAAUCAUUAUGGAGUUAAAGCACCCUUUUUACCAUCUUCUCUGUCAACCUAACUGACCAGAAUAUCUAAUCUGGUAAAGUGAGAAGAGUGAUUAGGAGAAUAUAUGUAUAUAUAUACAUAUAUAUAUAAUAUAUUCAUAUAUUAUGUAAAAUAUAUAUAUGUAUAAUUCCUAUUCCAUUUAUAUAAAAUUCUUAAAUGGUACCUUAAUGUAAACAAUAGAAAAUAAAGCUAAUAUGUGUUAGAUGAUAAUGUAGUUAAGUGGAUCUUUUUCCUGUCUGAACAAAAGAACCAACAAUUUAAUCAGUGGACCCUUGUCAGUCUGGAGGAUGCUUCUAGUGGACAGCAGGGCACUCUGGUUUUUGUGUGUGCAUAUAGGUGGGGGCAGGGCAGGGUGUUGCAUUUUUCCAUUAAUAAUGGUAAACAUUAAAUAAAAACCACUGGAUGAUAUCAGAAUGGAAAUGUAAAGUUGCUGGUUAUAAAUAAUUCAAAAUUUUAGAAAGUUCCCUUUAUUGAAAGUUAGAAACACAUCUUGUCUGUCUUUUCUUGUGAGGCCUUAUUGCCCUUUAUGAAGGAAGUAUUAACAAAAACAUUUGUUUCUUGUUUACAUGAUUGAAUGAGACAUAUCACAUAUUUUGCAGUAACAGGAACAGGAAUGGCACUGAUGCCUAGACCCCACUCAGAAAUUCUGAUUUAUCUGCAAUGGGGUCUAAGCAUUAAUUUUUGUAUAAGAUCUUGAGACAGUUGGACUGUUCCACCAGAGUUACAGGGUCACUGGCCUAGUGAGUCUUAAGAUUUUCUGACAUGGAACAAAGAUGACAUGUUGCCACAUACUCUGUAAUAGCUACUACUGCAUAGUGACAUGUGUUUAUCCUGAAUUUUUUCGUGAUAAGAUUGAAAGCUAAAGAAAAUGAAAAUAUCUCUUAAGUAUAUGGGAUCCAAGUCUUCAGCUUAAUUUUAUCUUCCCAACCAUGUACACACAUAGUACGUACUGCAUUGUGCAUCAUAAGCUCAUUAUCUUUGUAGCUGCUGUGGAUUAUGUUGGUAUAUGUUCAGUGUUGUUUCUCCUGCGCCUUCCUCCUCCCUUUGUUCUUCUGUCCCUUCCCCUGACAGAGAGCCUACUAGGGCCAGCAGGUUAACCAUGGACAUAAAACAAUGCAAAUUUUCUUCUUAGCAAACUAGCCAGCCCACUAACUAUGGGAGUAAGGGGGUCAGGUGGAUGGUUAUAGCUCACAUCAAUUUGAUUUGCAUUUUUCUGAUUCCUCCUAGAAGUCACACAAACAGUUGAAAGUUAUGGUAUAUGCCAUAUUCCAGGAGAAUAAAACCAUGAGAGUUAGGUGACCUCCAUCAUAGUCUCAGACGUUUAGAGUCCACCUAACUUCAUGUGCUUGAGCAACUUACUUACCUGUCUCUGUCUCCUUUUCCUUUCUGCAAAAUGAGAAGCUCAAACUAGCCACUCCUAAGGUUCCUUCUAGCCUUUACAAUAUGAAGUGCCAUUUAAUUUUUAUUGUUAGUUUAAGAGAAAAUAAGCAUCCACUUGUUAAAUACUCUUUUCCUGAUAUUAAAAGGAAAUCCAGCCAAAAAACUAAAUAAAAAUUAAAGAUUUCAACAAUGUAAAUCAUUUUAUAUCCUUAAAUUUGGGUUGUUUUAAUUGGAAUGUGCCUUAGUGAUAUGAAUUAAGACAUUACCAGUCCAGAAAUAUCAUAAUCUUGGGUGAGGGAGAAGACUGUGUGUGUGUGUGUGUGUGUGUGUGUGUGUACUCUUGUUAUUGAUUUCGCUUAAAGUGCUUCUAUAAAGUAUAGAUAAAACUGCCUUUGAUUGCCUAUUUGCAGAGUGAUUAUUAGUAAAAUAAGGAGGGACUUGGUGGAUUCCUCUUAAAUAAAUGUAAUAUAAAAACUACUGAGGUAAAUAUUGGUCUUUGUAUUUGCCUUAAUUCCUGGUCAGUUUUUAACUCAUUGAAUAAUUCUUAUUAAAUUCAUCAAAUGUAUUUUUUUGUUAUUAUAUAGGAAGGUUAAUAAACUCUCUGAAUAUUUUGUACUUUAAUCCUAUAGAAAAAUAUAGUAGUUAGAAUAGAUUACCUUAAAUAAUUCUGGGAAGAAUAAAUCAUUCAUGCUUGAUUAUUUCUUUUGAUAAUUUUUUUAUUGUGGUGGGGGCAGAGGGGAUGUUAAAACACACAUUGUAAGUUUUUUUUUAAAAAAUGAGUUCUUCAGAGGAAUGUAUGAGAAAACUCGAUGAUUUUAAUACUUAAUUUGGGAAUUGGCAGAGUUCACAGUUAAUUAUAUAUUUCUAAACUUAUAUGUAAAUUUCUGGUUAUGCUUCACAGUGAGAUCAUUGAUACUUUUGAAGAAAGUUCUGUUUUUCAAAGUAAAAAUAAAUAUACUACAUCAGUAAUUUAUAAAUGAGAAUGCUCGAUUUAUUUUUUAACGAUUACUACGUAGUGUUUGCAAAUGCUCUGGAAGAAAUGCAGAUGUUUGGAACAUGUCUUUUAAAAUCUGGAAGUUAUAAAUAUUAUGCAGCAAUAAUGUUAUAUUAUGGCAGACAGAAUGUCUUGUUACAAAUACUACAGAGUAAAGAAAUUUAUAUUUUGGCUUCAGAUUUAAGGAUUUGAGUCUGCCGUGCUCAAUGCUAGAUAUGUCGCCUUCUUUUUUUUUUUUUUUUUUUUUUUUGAGAUGGAGUUUCGCUUUUCUCGCCCAGGCUGGAGUGCAUUGGCGCGAUCUCGGCAUACUGCAUCCUCCACCGACCGGGUUCAAGUGAUUCUCCUGCCUCAGCCUUCCGAGUACCUGGGAUUACAGGCACCUGCCACCACACCCAGCUAAUUUUUUUUUUGUAAUUUUUAGUAGAAACAGGGUUUCACCAUGUUGGACAGGCUGCUCUGAAACUCCUGACUUCAGGUGUUCUGCCUGCCUCGGCCUCCCCAAGUGUUGGGAUUGCAGGUGUGAGCUACCACGUUCAGCCUAUUGUCUUCUUUUAUGGAAUUUUCUACAAUAUUCCUUCACCGUGAUUGAAAACAGACGAUACUCUCUUAUAUUUCUUGAAGGAGUUUACCUCUGAUAUGCUGUAAGAGCCUCAAUUCCACCACCUGUUUUAAACUUGGUUAAAUGAUUUUGUUAGCCAAACCUUAGCUCCUUAUCUCUAGGAGAUACUAGUUGUACCUACCUUAUAUAAUUUUAUGGAAAUUAAGUAAAGCAAUACAUAUAAAGUGUUUAGCUAGAGACUACUAUCUAGUAAAUGCUCAGUAGAAGUUAGUGAUAAUGUUACCUUGCUUGUGGAAGAUCUUGUCAAAAAAUCAUUUGUUCUUUUGCCACUGGCUUGUGCUUUUUCUGCGAAAAUGAUACCUCUGACCCUCUUCCUUUUUUUUUUUUUCUUUAAGAUCUCAUUUCUUCCUUAGGACAGUGAAAGUAAUUAAGUGAUUUACUUAAUAGAACUUCCUUCUAGCUUACUCCAGAUAGGAGUAACCAGAAAGUAGGUGACAAUGUUAAUUAGAAAGAUAAAUUAACACCUUUUAUGAGGAUAAUUUACCUGAUGAUAAUAAUUGAGAAAUGACUGGUAAGAUUGUCAGAGAGCAGUUUAUAGAAUGAAUUACUUUUGAUGAACAAACGUUGCUUUUUCAGGGGAAGAAGAUAGUUUGAACUUAAAUUUAAAGCUACAAUAUGUUGCUGGCAUUCAUCAUUUAAUUAAUAAUUUGGCUCAUCAGGGUUGAAACAGAGCUUGCCUUUUUUGAUGAAGGACCAUUUAAUAUAAAUGCUUAAUAUAAUUUAAUAUAAAUGCUUAUUUAGAUGAUCUAUUGUCAUUCUACAGAGAUCUUGGGUAUUUCCAUACGGACUAGAAUGGUGCUAGGAAGAAAAAGAUAUUCUGGGAAAUCAGAUGUUCUAUUUUAAGGAAUUAUUUUAUCAGGUCAUUUAAAUUUUGUGCUAGACUUUGAAUAUCUUUGUUUUGUUUUGAUAUGAAGUGUUCUGUAAGACCAGAAAGGAAGCCAGUAUGUUAAGAAAGUUUUAAAGUUAUUAUAUUUCUGAUACUACACAUACACAGAUACAGACAUACACACACAAAAUUUCUUUGCCAUCUAUGAAUAUCUAAGGGAAGAUUUAAAUUAGAGACAGUAUGAAAUCCUGUGAUGUCAAGAUCUUUAUUAGAAUAGCAGUUUGUACCUUUCUUGUUGAUAUGAUUUGCCCCAUCUUCAGAAGUCUGUGCAGCUAAAGAUGAGUCAUUAAGAAAAACUGGCAUCAGUAAAACUGCAUUUUACAAUAAUGCUUUCUAAACUGGUCAUAUAGCUAAAAUUGGCUGAGGCUGAAAACAGCAGUUUCUGCCUUGAAAGGGAAGAGUAAUUAGUAUUAACAUUGGUCAGGAACUUUCUUAUGUUCCAUGCCUUGACACCUCUUAGUACUUUACUAAUAUAUACUUUGGAAAUGGGUUGUGUGGCAUUCACAGGUCUUAGGGGCAUGAAGCUGAUAAAAUGGGAACAUAUUCACUAUAUACCAGUGUAAGAGAAGAGAGCAUGUGGCAGAAGAUUCACAACUUACUUUAAUUCGCCAGUCCAGAUCUUCUGCUCUGAUGGAAAGUCAGCAUCCUUUAGGAUGGGGGGGUAUGUGUGUGUAUGUUUGUGUGUGAGUGAUGUGUGUGUGUGUGUGUGUGCGCACUUUAAUCCAAGGAAUCUAAAACACCUUUCAGAAUUAUAAAUUUUUCCUGAACAUAAUGAUUUCAAUGUAACACUAUAAAUAAAUCUGACAUUAUAAUCAUGUGCUUUAUAAUCCUGACCAGGUUACUUUUACAUCAUGCCAGAAACACAUUUUUUAAACUAGCACUCAGAAAUAGUACUUUUAGCUCCAGAAAUAAAUUAUCUAGUACAAAAAGAACAAAGUUUUGACCUGUAAGGAAAUGGUGCCCACUGUGGGGACUGGUAUGUGGAGUAGAGGGCACCCGAAGUUACUGGGAUUUAUUGAUCUCCUUGGUGAUCCUGGUCCAUGUGGCAUCCAGGGUCAUUGUGGAUGCUUGCUGAAUGAAUGAAUGAAUGCAUGAUUGCCUUUCUGUCUAAUGUGAAAGGAAGAAGAAAACCAUGAUAUUGAAAACAGAAGUGCUUAGCAGUGAGAUUCCUAUCAGCUGGGUUCAUGACCCAUGUUCUGACUAGUUUCCAAAAUUGACUUUAUCUCAAGGACACAUGAGAGGAAACCGUUGGCAUGUGGGGGGUAGCUGGAGAGAGAUGAUGAUAGAGGAGGAAAGUACUUGUAGUGUGACUUUCCUUAGAGUCAAGAGAAGGAAGUGCUUGCAGCAAUAAAAGUGUUUAAAUAUAAACUGAAGAACACCUCUGGUUCUCGUUUUUGGUAGAUGGGGAAACCCAGAGCAGAGCUUAAGAAGUGUCAUCUGCUCUCCAGAUGGAGUCAGCUGAAGAGUCAGAAGCAGAAACCAGGUCUUCUGAUUCCGGGCAAAUGCUAGAUGCUUCUUUUAGCAGCAGGAAGACCUGGGUAGGAAUCCUGACUUGGAGUGUGGUUUGUUGGGCUUCAACAGUUUGCUUGUCUGGUUUCUUCUAAAAGACAUUUAAUUUCCCAGAUAUUUUGUUUCUUUCAAGAAAGGAAACUGGACUUCAUUGUCAAGCUUAAGAGAAGAGCCAGGCUUACCAUUUCUCCUUUCUUUCUGAGUUUUAGCAAAGGAAGUCUCACUGUGGCUCUUCAGGUAGAGAGAUGAGGACACCAGGAAAUGGGUGGUAAAGGAAUGGUUUAGCUCAGUAGUAGAUAAACAAGAAAAAGAAAAAAAUUCCAAGGAAUGAAUACUUCCUCAGGAAGAAAGGUAUUUAUUGUUUAAAGUCACACAUUUCUUAUCAAAGCAGAGUUCAUUGAUUGGCUAACUCUAAUUUAGAUUGUAUUUACUGUUUCCACUUGGGAAGUUAGUGUCUGAAACAUGGAGAGAUUAGUGUCUGAAACAUUGAGAGGUUUGAGAGAACACGUAGGUUAUCUUCUUGUCCGAGAGGAAUACUCAGCUGUGGACAGCGCAGCUGCCUCUUGUCUGGCCCUCCUCUUUCCUUUUGCUUGCUAGUAGUUCAUUGGCUCAUCAAAAAAUUUGGGCAAGUUGACCUUGAGGUAUCUAGACCAUAGUUUCUUACCUCAGUGGUAAUCCAUUUGCAUAGUUCCUUAAGAAUCCCCUACAAUGUCCACUUUCUUUGUGAAGUUUUCCUUAGCCUACUGUAUUCUAUAGUUUUUUGACCAUCAAUACGUUUAUGCGAAUUUAGUAUUUAUACUUCAGAUUCAGGGUUCUUGAUUAAAGUUAGGACUUUUUGGUAACUGGUUUUGUAUUGUUUUGGCUGCUUCACUACUACUGGAAUUGUGCUUUUUAAGAGUCAUUUAUUUAUAUAUUUGUUUUUAAAGCAAAUAAUUUUUGGGUACCCACUUAUUUCAGGGAAUUUUUUAUGUUUCCCUGCCUCUGGAGAAGUAGGACAUAAUAUUAGUAAAUUUGUUUUGAACAUAAUAUUAAUAUUUUGGAUAUAAUAUUAAUAAACUUUUUUGAACAGUUUCAUUUGCUGACAUGGUUUUAAGAGAAAUUAUUUUUGGUCACUUUUUGGAAACAAUGUUGUUACAUUCUAAAUUGUCCACAUUGAUGGUAGAGAAACAAAAUUGUUCCUGGGUACAUUCUAUAUACAAAUAAAACAUAUUCAGUACCUAAUAUUGUUGGGCUAAAAAUAAACAAAUAAUGUAUUUAUGGUAAGCAUGACUCCAUUUACACAGCUGUUAACAUUUUCUGUCAUCUCUGUGUAAUGUUCUGUAUGUUUCAUGGAUGAAGCGGUACAUCAUCCAACAUCAUAAAAUUAAGUAGCACUUUAUAGAGCAUGCUGCGUGCCAGGCAUUGUUCUAAAUAUUUUACACAUUGAUUAUGUUGAUAAUCAGAACAAUUCUAUAUGAUAAAUACUUUUAAUAUAUUAAACCAUAGUUUCUGAUUUAAACACUUGUGAGAUUAGCACAGCCUACAAACAAAUAUUUGUGAACUUCAGAACAAACUGAAAGCAGGUUCUAGAUGUCAAAUAAAAUGGCUUAUAAUAUAUUCAUUGGAUUCUGUCGCUGAAUGUGGAAUUCUGAUGAAAAUGUCUUGUAUGUGUAGAUGGAGACCUCUAUUUCUCUAAUCCAGGGUGGUAGUAACUAACCCAUUUCUUUAAUAUUUUUCUUUUUGGAACAUAAAUAUACGUUACCUUUAUUAAACACCCCUUCACAGGAAGAAGACAUCAAAACUAAAAGAAUCAGGAGUAAACAAUAACGUAGAGGUAUUUAACAUGGAAAACUAACAUGGAGCUUAGUGUAUGAUAUGGAAACUCAGUCUCAGAAACAUUAAGCAACCCAUCCAAGGGCACAUAGCAGAGCUAGAAUGAGUUUCAUAAUAAGAAAUAGUAAGAUUCUAAUCCCACUUCUUCCUUACUUCAGUAACCCUGGCUAAAUUAAUCUUUCAAAAUCUUAGUUUCUUCAAGCAUAAAACACUUAGCAAUGAUAAAACUUACUUUACAGCAUUAAUGAGAAUGUUAAACAAAAUAAUAUACUUAAAACGCUCUAGUUCAGUGCUUUGUUUCACAGAUGGGAAGCAAUAAAUGGUUAUUUUCCUGUGUUUCUUACCAUCUCUAUGAGUCUCUGUGACUGAAUCUGCUACCCUAGGAACAUAGCUCUAACAUUACAGUGCUUCUCAUGGAACCAGACAAUCUUAUCCGCUAAUAUUCCCAAAUCACAACGCUGUUUCAUAAUAAGUCUGUUGACUCCUUCCAUCAUUAAAACUCUGCAAUCACAGUUUAACUUCAUCAGACUUCUUAAUAGUCAUUUAAAUGGAAAUUUCUAUUGUAGAUAUGGUUUAUUUGGUAUCAGUGAGCACUAAUACUAGUGAGCAGGCAGCCUUGCUAGUCAAAUAUUUGCCUUUGGAGUUGGCCAGUGAUUUUGAUUGCUCUACUUUUAAAGCAUAUGUAGUUACAUUUCUAGCAGGUGAGUAUUUACAAUUUCUAGCAAUGUUUAUGUGCCAUCAUGUAAUUAGCAACCUGUUGUAAAUCAUCCAGCCAGUGGUGAUUUGCCAGAAUGAAUAAUAGCUGAGUUUAUGCAUUGCUGACUUGGCUAUUGUAACCUGAAAGACAACAUCCUUUUUCCUGGUUGGUAGGAAUCUCUUCAGACAUUAGGUGAUUUUUAGAAAGUUAACUCUGUAGACUCUGACUCUAGUCAGACAGCAGAAUAAUAUGGCAUUUGUAUUGUGCUUAUAGCAAAUCUCUAUUAAGAAUUUAUAUAUAUGUACCUUUGUUACAUUUUGUAAUAUGUUUUCAAUAAAAACUUGAUAUGACAAGAGUGGUGAAUAGAGAAUUAGUAUCCUUGUUCAGGGGCAGAAAAGAAUAUAAAUUGUUAGGCAUACUGGUAAUCCACCAAUUACUUUAACCAUCCAGUGACUAUAGUAUAGCCAAAAGAGAGAGGAAUAUGAUUUAAAAUUAUUCAUUAUCCUAUUUAAAAAAUGGAGCAGGAAAAGAAAGGUGAAAACAGUAAAGUAGAUUUGAGGUUUAUUUAAUGCCUUCCUUGUGAAAAAGUAACAUUAAUAUAGUACCAGUGGUUAUGGUACCAAAAUAAAGUAACAAGCUAAACAUGCCUUUAAUAGUUUAGUACACUUUUGAACAAAGUAUUUAAAUGUGGCACUAUACAGAAGUGUAAUAUAUAAAAACAAGGGACAGAGAAUCCAUCUUCAAUUGCUUAAUUUAAAAAAAAAUUACCUUUAGAGAAUUAACAUUAAAAUAAUAGACUACUUUUAUAAUUGCAGAAUUUACUUAGUUUUGUUUGACAAUAAGAUGUUAGAAUUGUUUUUAUUAGUAAUUUUAAAACAAAAUUAUUAAAAGUAUGAUAAAUAAAAUAUUAGAGAGGAGGGUCUGUAUCUUAGGUUAAUUUCUAGCUUUGUUGUCGCCCUUCUAGUGCAUAUAUUUGUAUCUCGUGUUAAGUGAACUAUUUAUGUUAAACUGAAAAUGGGAAACUAAUUUUCACUUGCGAGCAGCAUAUAUAAAUAGCAUGGAGCCAUUAUGCUGUUUCCUUUUUAAAAAACUAACAACAACGACAGAGUACCUCUGCUUUCUGGUGAAAUAAGAAAUUAGAAGGUUUGUUGUAAGAGAUGUUUUAGUGGAUGGGCUUCUGAAUAUGGAUUUGCAGUGAAUUAGGACAGGGUAAUUCCCACAGAGGAGAGAAGCAAAAUUGGAAGUCACAAGGGAUAGUCUUUCUCAUUUCAUUGAUUUUUUUAAUCUGUAACAUUUGAAGUUUUCUGUUUCCUCAAAGAAACAAAUAAAAGGAACUUCAUCCUGUGUAACUUUACAUCUUGUCCUGGGACUCAUGCUUCUUAUGUUUCUUGUAUUGUCUUGAUAAAGCAUCCUUUAUUCACAUAGUACUCAUUUCUGGUUAAUUACAUACAUAUGAGGUCCUGCCUUAUGCAUGGUGUAAAAUAAAAAGAUUAAUUGGACACAGGGUUUACUUUCAAGUAUGUAGUAGUUUAGGGGGACAGUCAAGCUAAGGUCAUUAAAUGUUGGUUGAGUGAAUUAAGCAAUUUGUAGACAGUCAUAGUGACUAUAAGAGCAAAAUUUUUCAAAGGGCAAGACUCAAGAUUUAACAUUUAAAGUAAUGAGGGAAGAGCCAAUUAAUACUGCUUUAUCAUGUUAAAUUUACUGACUGAAGUUGUUAAGAGUCCAUUUAGAUAAUGCUCUCUCAUUUAUCCUGUCUAUAUGAAUGAUAUCAGUGAAUACUGUUCCAGUUUUGAAAUGAUGUGUGGGCAUAGUUUUCGUUUUAUUUACAAGUUAUUUAAUUUUUAUUCUUAGAGAUAUUGUCAAAGAUAUUGCCAGAGAUAUUUAGAGUCUGAAUAAAGUGAUAGAGCAAUCACAAAUCAAUGACUUUUGCUUUUUAAAAAUUUUAAAAUGCAAUAUAAACAGUUUAUUCAGAGCCCAAACUGGGUCCACAUCUGUGACCAGCAAAUAAAUUAUACACAUUCUAUAACUAGCAGAAUAUUUCCAUUACAAAUGAAGUUAUGAAUUAUAUCUGGUAAUUCAUUAUUCAUCAAGUGCUUAAUGUGGACUAGCUUCUCUUGCUGAAUACAGAGAUCACUAGUGGACCCAGCUAUAUCCUCCUAGUUUUAGUACUUCAGAAAGAUAUAUAAACCAACACAUUUAGUACAAUUUUCUAAAUUGUAACUGGAAGAACAAACUGGGACUUUGUGAGGAUUAAGUCGUACUGACUAGGCCUCUUUGGAUAUAUGUCUUGAAGGAUAGUAUGAUUUAGCUUUUGAUCUUACCUGACAUGAGUAUACUAAUAGUUGUAAAAUGCCUUAUUACUGUAGAAUUUAAAUCUAAUGAUUAUAAAUUGGAGGUGGAAGAGGCAAAGAGAGUAUACAGAGUUUGAGUGACAUCUUGUAUUGUGUAAUUUUACAGGAUGUGCUUUUUGCCAUAUCACCACAGAGAAAACUGAAAUCAAUUUCUCCUUUUCUAAGGAGCAUCCUAAAAGAGAGGUGCUGCCUUUCCCCCUCUUUUCUUCAUAUAUUCACACAUUUCUGAGACUAAUUCAUCAUUCAUUAAGCCUAGAAUAAUGUGAACGUGGGAUAGAGGAUGGACUAAGGUCUUAUUUAAGUAAUAACAUCAUAAUCUGUCAUAUGUUAAUUUAAUCAGAUAAUCUACAAACACAAAAUUUAAAUUCUACAGAAAAAAUCACAUAGGUUUAGUAAAUAUUGAACAAAUGAGGAUUUUUGGGGGGAUUCUUUAAUAAUUGGCACAAGUGAUGAAGAUGAAUGCUUUUAUUUAGGUUUUAUUUAAUAUGAUGAAAUUAAAAUAGAUUUUUUGUAUCACAAACAGAAUGUUACCCUUGAAGGUGCUUGGUAUAUGUAUUACAAAUGUUCGAAGAGUUCAAGAAAGAAGCUGACCCUAAGUUUCAGUAAUAUCAUUGUCUUUCUUUAAUCUUUGAUUAAUGUUAUGAACUUAACUAGCUAUACAAAGAGCAGAUGGUGCAAUGGUGCCAAGUUAACAUUCACCAUCUGCUUCUCACAUGUAUAAUUUGUAAGAAUGUAUGCUAAAAAAUAAUACAUAAUAGCAGUGAUAUUCUAUUUUGUGGUUGUUGGUCAGGGAAGCUUUGCCAUUUGGGAUAACUAUAUUUCAACAUGAAUAACUUCAUUAAAUAAACAUAGCAAAAACACUUUUAAUGAACAAUCUCAGUAUGUCGUUUUGUCCUUUACUUGGUUGUAUGAAAUGCUGUUUUUGGUGAAAACUUAGAAUUUCCUUUUGGACCCUUUUAGCUUAGUCAGAGUUGGUUUCACAGUUCCUUGGAGAGUUGUCCCUCUUUGUCAGGCUUCUCAGUGAGUCCUUUUCUCUGCAUGGGAAGCACAUGCCAUAGUAAGCAGCAACCUCCUGGAGUCAGCGGCUGGUUAACAGCCUUCUUCUCCACUGUUUCACUUUACCCCAGAUAUUAAGUGGGGCCUCUUGGUAGACUGAAACCGAUAUGAGAGCAACUGUCUGUCAAAUAAGAGACAGUUAAGAAGUACUUCAAAGGAGGGAAGAAGACAAAAGACAAAAGUAGUUGGGCCUCUGAGCCAGGCUGCAAAUGUGUAAGGAAGUUAAUACUACCAAUAAUUUGCUUAUACUUUCACGUAUUCAUAAAUCAGGGUUGUACCCGGACCUAUAUGUGGUGAAUAUAUGGUCUUCAGAGGAUCUGAACUCAAAAAUUCUAUGCAAUAUUUUUCUGGAUACACAUAGUUAAAAACCAUUACCGUGGAGUUAUAAAUGUGGGCAAGGUGAUUUUCUCUGAGACUCCUUUCACCUGUUUCACAGUGAUAUGUCUUAGUUUUAGUUAAGUUUUUACCAACUGAGGGGGAAAAGUCACAUAUGACUCAGGAAAAAGACAAGAUACAAUGUUAUUUUAAUUGAGUGGAUGCUUAUAUUCCUUUAGUAAUUCUCUACUGUAUUUACAACCCUACCAGAGGCUGCAUUUAGUCAUAUGACAGACAAACCAAGAAAUAAUUUAUGUUUACAUUAGUUCUUUCAAGACUAAGGUGGGCAAAUGUCAUUUUGCUGGUAAUAUGGGGGGAACAUGACAUUUUGGCUAAGGACGUGGACUUUAGAAUCAGACUAGGGUAUGGAUUCUGCCACACGUUACUGACUGUAAUUGUACAUGUAGGCAGGCUCUUCAAACUUCACUUUCUUUAUCUGGAAAUUGAUGAUAAUGGUAUUUACUUUGUAGAACCGAUUUUGUUUUAAAAUCAUAGUUUUAGUAAUGGCACAUGGGAAUUGUGGGUUUGUCACUUUUCAGCAAGGUGUGACCUUUUUGAAACCCUCUGUUGAGGAGAGUCUGGUCUUCAGUUUAAAACUAUGAUGAAGAAGGAGGCAUGUUAUUGGCUUAUAUCUGUCCUGUGGUUCUCAUUACCUCAACAGUCAGUACCUUCGGUGUCUACAUGUAUUCUUGCUUAUAGGUGGAAAUGGAGAUGCUGUUUUACUUUUUCCCUUCAAAAAUGAUGGAAGUUUCUUCCAGCUAGCUGAAAUCAGUGCACACUUCCUCUCAGAACCUCUUGGGAAAGGAAAGAGAGGGUUAGAAUAUACUUUUAUUAUAGUUGCAAUUUGUUACUAUACACCUAAGUUUACUUGGACUUGAAUGUUGCGUUUAAUCUCUACAAUCAGAGAUUGUUUUCUGUUAUUCAGGAAAAGCGUUAGAGCAUCCCUGUUGUUAACAAUUAUAGGACAUUUAACAAGUCUUUGAUUCUAAAGAGAGAAAUGUCAUUGUACUCUAUUCUGAAGAACUAGUCAUUGUUGGAUCCAACUUAAUUUUUGUCCUGUGUAAUUUUCACAGGUGUUUCCAUUUAUUGUUAGCAACUAAGAAUACUGCAUGUCAGUCAUAUUUUCACAUAACAGAAAAAUCUUGUGUUAAGUUUUGUGAUUAGCAAAACGUAAGUAAAGAUUUCUAAAGCCCUUCAUUUAUAGGUACAAUAUAAUGAAAGAUAUUUACUUCUUUGGGAAAACAGAAAUACGUAUACAUAUACAUAAAUAUAUUUCUUUUUUUCUAACAAAUGAAACUUUAAGGGACUUUGUUCAGCUUUCCCCAGUUGUUUUCUUUCACUGUUCCACAUUUGUCUUCUUAUGAUACAAUUUUAUGAGGCUUUGAGAACUAAGACUAUCAUUGCUAUGUUUUCUUAAUUAUUAUUUAAAUAAUAAAGAUCUGUAACAUGAAAAAUUUCUUUGCGUUAAGUGGAACUGUAGUUUUUCUAAUAAAAUUGAAAACGCUAUUCUCUUACAGGACUUAAACAUUAUUUGAAAGACAGAACAACCUUUUUUUUCUUUCUUUUUUUAGUCAUUGUACCAAACUGAUUAUUCGGGAAAGGAGUCCCUUGGCAAUCACAGUUGAGACAGUUUAUUUGUCUUUAAAAAUUUGUAUUUCCUUUUAAUAUGAAUUUAGUAAUCCAUUAUAUUUAUCAAGAGGAAUAUACUUGCUUAUUAACCCUAUUAAUAAUUUAAUGGUUAAAAAAAUUUAACCUCAAGGAAGGAAAAAGCUGAGGCUAAUGAAUAGAAUGGAAAAACUGUAUUAAAGUCACUUCUGAAUAGUUAAUUAUGUUAAUUUAAUAUAUAGGAGGUAAAAGGUACUGUUUGAAUCUGUGAGAUUCACAUAAUUGGAAUGGGUUUCAAAAGUAUGUGGGAAAAGUACGUUUUUUGAAUUACAAGAUGCCAGUAAGUUAAGCAGAAUGUCAUCUGAGUCAGUUACAGACAAGAAGGCAAGAAACCUGGAUUUGUAUGUAGCUGUUUCUCUGAAAGGACAGAGCUUCACAAAUGUUUACCAUCCUUUUAUGUAACAUAAUAUUCUAUUAAAUAUAUGCCUAUGGCAACAUAUGAAAUACUCAUUAUUAUUUCCCUUUUACAGAUGUUGAAACUAAGGCUAUGAAAGAUACAGCUACAGGUACAGUGUAGCACAGUAAGAAGUAGAGCUUGGAUUAGUAAUCAGGUCUGUCUGACUCUAAAUCCUAGGUAUUCUCAUGACACCACACUGCGUGACCUUGACCCAGGGGCUUAACUUAUUUAGGUGACAAUUCUUAAACUAUAAGAAAGGUUUAGAAUAAUUUAUAUCAGAAAUCUCAUUGGCUCUCAAAUUCCAAAAACUCAGUGAUUCUUGUUUUUAAAACCGAACCACAAAGCACUCAUUUAAUGUUUAUUAAGUUACAUUGAAUAAACUAUUACCUUCAUGCCUUAUACAGCAUUUCAGAAGUACAAUCUGUGGUCAUACAAAAUCUAAUGUUAAAUGGCUAGCAAAGAAAAGUAAAGAAACAGUAAUUUACUGUAUAGUUUAUGAAAAAUUCACUAGAAAAUUUGUUUGCUAUUUUAUAUUAUGUUGUAAGUGUAUUGCAGGAACUGUCUUCACAAUAUGAAACACUAAAAACAAUUUGGUUUUAGUAGUUUAGCUUUGUCAUAUUAAAACAUGGUAUAAUACAUUAUAGUACUAAACAGAGGUUGAUAAUAUAAUGUUGUUAGUUUCUGUCUUACAUUAAGAAUAAGGCAAAGCAAUGUAAACAUUUUAAAAGUCUUUUUGUAUAAGAUGAAACUGAAAGCUAAUGUUGGCUGCAAGUUCUCUGCCAUGUACUUAAAAUCCAGUUAUUUCCAAUAGCUGAAAUGAGUAUUGCAGGAAAUUGAAAUAUUAAUAUUUUACCCACUCACAAAAUAAUAACUCCUUAAGUUCAGUACUUUUUUUUUUUGAUGUUUAACUUUGGUAUUUCCAGGAAGAAUGAACAUAUUAUUUUUAAAAAAUCUUUCCUUUCGCAUUGGGUGAAAAAUUUUAGCAAUCUUAUUCCAAGGCCAUUUAUUGUAUUUAUUAGUGGAUUUUUUAUAUUUUUUAAGGGUAAAUGAUAUCAAAAACAUUAUUUUUAAAUUAUUUUAUAUUUUAUUACAUAAAAUAAAAAUUUAAAGCUAAAUUUGUUUUAUUUUUGCUAAUGUUAUAUCAAGGUGGAUAAAAUGUCUGUAAAAGGAAGACUUGAAAUAAUCUGUGAAGUAGUGCCUACAUUUAGAAAAGUAUUUCAAAAUCCCUAAAAUCAGUAUUGUGUUUUUUUUUAAGUGUUGUACAGUUAAGAUUCUCUGGCAGAUGAUUGUAAGAUAUUUUAGUUCAGAUUUGAAUUUCAGAGUUGCUACUAAUGACAGACAAAAGAAAUAAAUAGAAUUUUAUUCAUUACAAGUCUGACACUUUAGUCAGUAUGUAGGCAUCCAGAUUUUUAGUCCCUUUGGGAAAAAAAAGGACAUAUUAGUAAUCUGAAAUGUAAAAAGGUAAUCCAGCACACAUUUUUGUUUUAUCAACAGCGUUGAUUGAGUUGAUUUUGUAUUCCCACCAGUUAGUAUAAGUGCUAAAGAUGAAACCUCUUCCCCAGAGCAGUUGAAUGUAUAGUGGAAUUUGACAUGAUGUUUACUAUUUAGUAGAAGUGAUGACAAAUUUAUAUGUUUAAAUAUUUUAGAGAUGAGAAAGUAUCUUAUUUUGUGAUGUAGCUAACUUUCUCUGAAGAACAGUGGUUUCCUUUUAAUUCAAAAAUUGCCAUUUAUUCCAGAGUAGUCACGUAUUGCAUGCCUUAAAAGAAUCAUCAUUAAGUCUAACAAGAAAAAUACAAGCAAGGAAUUCUAACCUAGAAAUUUAAUGCACAUUUGGGUCUGUCUGGCUCUAAAACUCAAGUUGUUUUUACAACAUACUGCUGCUGUCAGGUGACUUCUUCCACAUUGUAAAUUGUAAAUAAUUAUAGAAUGUUACAGAUAGAAGGAACAAAGUAUUGGUCAUGUAGUAAAACUUUUUGGAAGGGCCAAAAGAGCUUUAUGGACCUGCCAACAAACAAUAGAUAGUGGCCAGACUAGAAUUUUUGUCUUCUAAUUACUAGUAUUUGCUGUUUCCAAGCUCCUUUCCAACACCAUUCAGAGCAGUUAAUUAAACACCUGCUCUCUUGCGACAUUGUUUAUAUUAUUUGACUCUUUCUCUCUCUACAUAUAUGUAUAUAUACAUACACAUAUGGAUAAAGUUUUAAAAAGUUAUAUGUAUAUAUAUGUGUGUGUGUGUAUACACACACACACUCAUACACACUUAUUUUAUAUUAUUGUCAUCUUUUAUUGGGCAAGGAAGGGUUUUUGUCCCUCUUCAGGCAGUGCACAAUGAGUGGUAUAUGUAUAGUAGCACUCAAUAAAUAUAGAUUCGUUUAUUGCUACUAUUUUGUUUUUGUGUUCUUCAGUAUUGCUGUUUUGCUCUUUUAGCCCUCUGACAAUUGUAAGCAACUUUCUCUAUUAAAAUUCAUUUGUUGAAAUACCUACUUUGAUAUCUAGUUUCCUGACCAUACCCCUAACACAUACAAAAUACAUCACAAACUGAGUGAAAAAAUAUGUAUAGGGAAAACACAAUAAGCUUCAUCCCUUAGAUUUUGUAAAUUCUUUGCUCAUGGUAAGAAAAGAAAUAAUAUUCAUUCUGUGCUUUGGACAAAAUGCAGAAUAGUGUAAUGGGAGAUAGGAAGGGUAGGUGGGGGAUACCUUUCAGUGAUGGCAAAGAGGCAGACAUGUAUUAAGGUGACAAGGAGGUCUGUAAUUUCAGAACUUCAGGAGGCCAAGGUGGGUGAAUCACCUGAUUCGCCAGAGUGUGAGACAGGCCAGGCUAACAUGUCGAAACACCUUCUCUACCCAAAAUACACAAAUUAGCUGGGUGUGGUGGUGAACACCUGUGAUCCCAGCUACUCGGGAGGCUGAGAUGGAAGAAUUGCUGGAACCCGGGAGGCUAAUGUUCCAGUGAGCUGAGAUUGCACCACUGCACUCCAGCCUGGGUGACAGAGCUAGAAACCAUCUCAAAAGAAAAAAGAUGGCAAGCAAGACAUUACCACAUCUGUUAGGCAUGAAAAAUUUUAGUGUCCAAUAUUCCAUAAAUUGAUUUUAUGAUUGGGUAUAUUCUUUUAGUGAGUUUGUGUGUGAAUAGCAUUUGAAUACAAACUAAUUAUAUUUUCUCUAAAGAAAAUACAUAUGUUGUACUUACUGUAUAUACUUUGUUUUUCUCAAAAGAUUAAUUUUUCUGAUUAUUUUGUGGGGUAGCUAGAAGACUAGGGGUUAUAGGAGAAGGCUGCAAAUUCAAGAUUAAAUCAACUGGCUCAGAAUGACUUUUUUUCACCUGUGCCUCAUUAGCACCACUUUUUAAUUAAAUACUAUUAUAAAUCACAAAUAACAAAGCCCUUGAACUUUAUAUGUAUUGUAGGAGACUCUUGUAUAUAUAUCAUAUAUAUGCCUAUUUACAUAUAUACAGAGUUACAUAUAUACUUACACACUGUGUGUGUGUGUGCAUAACUAUGUCUAUACUGAUUUAGCUCACAGUUGUUUUAUACUCAGAAUAAAUAUAUAGAGGUUAUUUUAUUGUUUAUAUAAAG